UACAGAGGGUGCAAGCGUUGUUCGGAAUUAUUGGGCGUAAAGCGCGUGUAGGCGGCUUUGCAAGUCGGGUGUGAAAGCCCUCAGCUCAACUGAGGAAGUGCGCCCGAAACUGCAGAGCUUGAGUGCCGGAGAGGGUGGCGGAAUUCCCCAAGUAGAGGUGAAAUUCGUAGAUAUCUGGAGGAACACCGGUGGCGAAGGCGGCAUCCUGGACCGGCAUUGACGCUGAGGCGCGAAAGCCAGGGGAGCAAACGGG
rnacentral:rRNA from 1 species